AUGUCGCUCCGGCGCCUCCUGGGCCUUUCCGCCGCCGUCUCCGGCCGCCUAAGCCGCUCCCUCUCCACCUCCACGGCUGCCUCCUCCCGCCCUCCCUGGAUCUUGGUCGACCAGCUGUCAGUGGCCGCCGGGUCGGCGCUGGGUGCGUCCGUGCGCAUCCUCGAGCCGCCGCGCUUCUCCACCAUCACCGUCCCGGCGCUCCUGGUCGACACCAGCGCCGGCCCCGACCCCGACAGCGACGCCACGCAACUCCUCGUCGGCCGCGUGUGCUCCGCCAGCGCCGACGGCCUCCUCCUUAUCAUCAUCUACGAUCUCCGCGCCACGGCUCCCAUCCUCGCCAAGCAGGGCGGCAAUCAUGUCCGCCAGCUGACCGGCCUCGUCCGCGGGCACACCCCGGACACCACGCGCUUCCUCUGCAACCCUGUCACCGGCCAACUGACCCGCCUCCCGGUCAUCAACGUAGGCCGGAGGCGGCUCGUGUGCGGCCCUCACAUGGGCGUCCUCACCCAAGCCGGUCGCGGGCACGGAGACGGAACUCCCGACAGGGUCGCCGUCGCCGAGCUGCAGGGGAACAGGAUGCUCCGCUUUCUCUCGGACACGGGCGAGUGGGACGUCGCGGUCACCACGCCCUGCCAACUCCCGGGCGUCCGGCGGUUUUACUCGGAGACGGGCAGGAGGUUUGACCAAGAGGCGUUCGCCUUCGGCGGCCGGCUGUGGUGGGCUGACCUGAGCUGGGGCGCCAUCUCGGCCGACCCGUUCAGCGACCGGCCGGAGCCCCGCUUCGUGGAGCUGCCGAGGGGCAGCGUGAUGCCUGCACGCCCAGGGCCGGCGCCAGGGUGGCUUGACCUGGAGGGUUUUGAGGCCCUGUCCAAAGACGCGCCGGGCAGGUACCGGCGCAUGGGGGUCAGCGAGGGAAGGUUGCGCUACGCCGAGGUGUGGAACCGGGAGCCGUUCGUGCUCAGCUCCUUCACGCUCGACGACGAGGGCAGCGGCUGGACGCUGGAGCACCGCGUGGUGCUCAGCCGGCUCUGGGCGGAUGGAGACUACCCAUGGCUGCCCUUGCCGGAGAAGACGACGCCACAAAUUGUCGCUCUUGAUCCACUGAACGGCAAUGUCAUCUACCUGGCGGUCGGCAUGCACCGCAUCAGCGUGGACAUGAGCAAGCAGGAAGUGAUUGGGAGCUUUCUGGACAGAGGAGCCGGGUGCAUACCAUGCGUGCUUCCACCGUGGCUUGAAUCCAGCCGGACCUCUGCCGCAGGCAAGAAGGACGACGCAGAAAGCAAGACUUUGGCAGAUGUCUAG
rnacentral:rRNA from 1 species